rnacentral:rRNA from 1 species
GAUGAACGCUAGCUACAGGCUUAACACAUGCAAGUCGAGGGGCAGCAUGGUCUUAGCUUGCUAAGGCCGAUGGCGACCGGCGCACGGGUGAGUAACACGUAUCCAACCUGCCGUCUACUCUUGGACAGCCUUCUGAAAGGAAGAUUAAUACAAGAUGGCAUCAUGAGUCCGCAUGUUCACAUGAUUAAAGGUAUUCCGGUAGACGAUGGGGAUGCGUUCCAUUAGAUAGUAGGCGGGGUAACGGCCCACCUAGUCUUCGAUGGAUAGGGGUUCUGAGAGGAAGGUCCCCCACAUUGGAACUGAGACACGGUCCAAACUCCUACGGGAGGCAGCAGUGAGGAAUAUUGGUCAAUGGGCGCAGGCCUGAACCAGCCAAGUAGCGUGAAGGAUGACUGCCCUAUGGGUUGUAAACUUCUUUUAUAAAGGAAUAAAGUCGGGUAUGUAUACCCGUCUGCAUGUACUUUAUGAAUAAGGAUCGGCUAACUCCGUG